ensembl:misc_RNA Metazoa_SRP Metazoan signal recognition particle RNA
GCUUGGCAUGGUGGUGUGCACCUAUAGUCCCAGCUACUUGGGAGGCUGAGGCAGGUGGAUGGCUUGAGUUCAGGAGUUCUAGGCUAUAGUGUGCUAUGCCAAUGGAGUGUCUGCACAAAGUUCAGCAUCAAUAUGGUGAUCUCUCGGGAGAGGGGGACCACCAGUUGCCUAAGGAGAGGUGAACUGUCUCAGAUUGGAAAAGGAGCAGGUCAAAACUCCCAUGCUGAUGAGUACUGGUAUCUUACCUGUGAAUAGCCGCUGCUCUCCAGCCUGGGCAAUAUAGUGAGAUCCUGACUCUA